AGCGCGGGUAGUUCAGUGGUAGAACACCACCUUGCCAAGGUGGGGGUCGCGGGUUCGAAUCCCGUCGUUCGCUU
rnacentral:tRNA from 1 species